GAACGGUAGCACAGAGAGCUUGCUCUUGGGUGACGAGUGGCGGACGGGUGAGUAAUGUCUGGGAAACUGCCCGAUGGAGGGGGAUAACUACUGGAAACGGUAGCUAAUACCGCAUAACGUCUUCGGACCAAAGUGGGGGACCUUCGGGCCUCACACCAUCGGAUGUGCCCAGAUGGGAUUAGCUAGUAGGUGGGGUAACGGCUCACCUAGGCGACGAUCCCUAGCUGGUCUGAGAGGAUGACCAGCCACACUGGAACUGAGACACGGUCCAGACUCCUACGGGAGGCAGCAGUGGGGAAUAUUGCACAAUGGGCGCAAGCCUGAUGCAGCCAUGCCGCGUGUAUGAAGAAGGCCUUCGGGUUGUAAAGUACUUUCAGUGGGGAGGAAGGCGAUGAAGUUAAUAGCUUCGUCGAUUGACGUUACCCGCAGAAGAAGCACCGGCUAACUCCGUG
rnacentral:rRNA from 1 species